GUAGCAUCUCCUGGCUACUAAUUAGUCAGACUAUACCCCAAUUACAGAAGCUCUAGUAGAAGGCAAAUUAGAGAUGCUGGAUAGAAGCGAGAUGGACAGUUUGCCAAAUAUUUGCCGGCCAAUAAUGAUUAGCUUAAUUCCACUCGGUCUUCCAUGAGCUUGUGCUGUUACGGAGACUUUCAAUACUUACGCUUGUGGGUGUGUCUGUUAAACGAAACGCGACCUCCGCAGCCCGUUAAACGCCCCGAAUGAAAAACCGUACAAAUCGUUCAGUUUCAGCCGCUUGACACGUGUCUGACACAACGACGAGAACAAUCAGCUUAGUUCUGCAGUGCAUUCGGCGCGAAAGAGCAGCGCAUGGCAAGGCAGAUCAUUGAUCUAUCAGAGUGGCUGUCGAAAAUCUUGUAAAACAAUUACUCGGAAGCAACAUUGGCAGAGAAACUCUUCCCAUCUUUAAACAGCGAAGAUAAUCCACAGGGAUUAUUUGGUUUCGACCGAGCAACGAGGAAAAAUCAGUGAUACUUUCCCGUAGAAAACGAAAACGAUAAAGAAGAAUGACUUCGAGCGACAGAGAGGAAACAGGAAAAUUGUAAGAAGAGGACAGAAGAGGGCUAACGGAAAGGAUUCUUUCAAUUAGUUUGUCGACUCUUGAGAUUCCAGUUAAUCGACUCUCUUCUCGGACGUCUGCUACUCUAAUGAUCGUUCACAUCGAGAGA
rnacentral:misc_RNA from 1 species